UACGUAGGGUGCAGGCGUGAUCCGGAAUUAUUGGGCGUAAAGAGCUCGUAGGCGGUUUGUGGCGUCUGCUGUGAAAACCCGAGGCUCAACCUCGGGCCUGCAGUGGGUACGGGCAGACUAGAGUGCGGUAGGGGAGAUUGGAAUUCCUGGUGUAGCGGUGGAAUGCGCAGAUAUCAGGAGGAACACCGAUGGCGAAGGCAGAUCUCUGGGCCGUAACUGACGCUGAGGAGCGAAAGCGUGGGGAGCGAACAGG
rnacentral:rRNA from 1 species